CCCCGAGUAGCUCAGUUGGAAGAGCGUUCGGCUGUAACUGCCUUACCUCGAAACCGAAAGGUCACCUGUUCGAACCAGGUCUCGGGGA
rnacentral:tRNA from 8 species